rnacentral:misc_RNA from 1 species
GAUGAAGAACGUAGCAAAAUGCGAUACUUGGUGUGAAUUGCAGAAUCCCGUGAACCAUCGAGUUUUUGAACGCAAGUUGCGCCCGAAGCCUUUUGGCCGAGGGCACGUCUGCCUGGGCGUCACGCAUCGCGUCGCCCCCCACAAUUCUCCGUAAAGGGAACAUGUGUUUUGGGGGUGGAUAUUGGUCUCCCGUGCUCAUGGCGUGGUUGGCCGAAAUAGGAGUCCUUUCGAUGGACGCACGAACUAGUGGUGGUCGUAAAAACCCUCGUCUUUUGUUUCGUGCUGUUGCUCGCAAGGUAAACUCUUUAAAAACCCCAAUGUGUCGUCUCUUGACGACGCUUCGACCGCGACCCCAGGUCAGGCGGGACUACCCGCUGAGUUUAAGCAUAUCAAUAAGCGGAGGA